CAUCGUCAACUACAAGCCAAAGAUUGAUCAGCUGGAGGGCGACCACCAGCUCAUCCAGGAGGCGCUCAUCUUCGACAACAAGCACACCAACUACACCAUGGACACAUCCGUGUGGGCUGGGAGCAGCUGCUCACCACCAUCGCCAGGACCAUCAAUGAGGUAGAGAACCAGAUCCUGACCCGGGAUGCCAAGGGCAUCAGCCAGGAGCAGAUGAAUGAGUUCCGGGCCUCCUUCAACCACUUUGACCGGGUGAGAGC
rnacentral:lncRNA from 1 species